ACUGGGCUAAUACGCAUAAGCAUGACGAUGGCCAUGCUGUUGUCUUCAAAGGCGCCAGUCGCCAGAAGAGGGAUCCGCGGCGAUUAGCUUGUGGCGGGGUAAUGGCUCACCAAGGCAUUGAUCGGUAGCCGGACUGAGAGGUUGGCCGGCACACUGGAACUGAGACACGGUCCAGACUCCUACGGGAGGCAGCAGUGGGGAAUCUUGCACAAUGGACGAACAGUCUGAUGCAGCAAACGCCGCGUGGGGGAUGAACGCUUCUCGGAGUGUAAACCCCUUUCGACCCGGAAGAAUGCCCGCAAGGGUUUGACGGUCACGGGUAUAAGAAGCCCCGGCUAAACUACGUGCCAGCAGCGCGGUAAUAACG
rnacentral:rRNA from 1 species